AACGAACGCUGGCGGCAGGCCUAACACAUGCAAGUCGAGCGCCCCGCAAGGGGAGCGGCUGACGGGUGGGUAACGCGUGGGAACGUACUCUUAUCUUCGUGAUAGCUCCGGGAAACUGGAAUUAAUACCGAAUGUGCCCUUUGGGGGAAAGAUUUAUCGGAUAAGGAUCGGCCCGCGUUGGAUUAGCUAGUUGGUGGGGUAAAGGCCUACCAAGGCGACGAUCCAUAGCUGGUCUGAGAGGAUGAUCAGCCACAUUGGGGCUGGGAAACGGCCCAAACUCCUACGCGAGGCGGGAAUGGGGAAUAUUGGACAAUGGGCGCAAGCCUGAUCCAGCCAUGCCGCGUGAGUGAUGAAGGCCUUAGGGUUGUAAAGCUCUUUCACCGGAGAAGAUAAUGACGGUAUCCGGAGAAGAAGCCCCGGCUAACUUCGUG
rnacentral:rRNA from 1 species